rnacentral:rRNA from 1 species
AAGGAAUAUUGGUCAAUGGAGGCAACUCUGAACCAGCCAUGCCGCGUGAAGGAUUAAGGCCCUCUGGGUUGUAAACUUCUUUUAUAUGGGAAGAAAUGUUCUGAUUCUUCAGAGCUUGACGGUACCAUAGGAAUAAGCACCGGCUAACUCCGUGCCAGCAGCCGCGGUAAUACGGAGGGUGCAAGCGUUAUCCGGAUUCACUGGGUUUAAAGGGUGCGUAGGUGGGCAGAUAAGUCAGUGGUGAAAUCUUCCGGCUUAACCGGAAAAUUGCCGUUGAUACUAUUUGUCUUGAAUAUUGUGGAGGUAAGCGGAAUAUGUCAUGUAGCGGUGAAAUGCUUAGAUAUGACAUAGAACACCAAUUGCGAAGGCAGCUUACUAUAUAAUUAUUGACACUGAGGCACGAAAGCGUGGGUAGCGAACA